AUAGGAUUAUUUUAACACUUUUUUCUUUGGCACGAUACAGAGAAGAUUAGCAUGGCCCCUGUGCAAGGAUGACACGCGAACUCGUGAAGCGUUCCAUAUUUUU
ensembl:snRNA U6 U6 spliceosomal RNA